rnacentral:rRNA from 1 species
AGAGUUUGAUCAUGGCUCAGAAUUAACGCUGGCAGAGUGCAUAACACAUGCAAGUCGAGCGGAGUUUGCAGCGUAUCGCAAACUUAGCGGCAGACGAGUGAGUAACACGUAAGCAACCUGCCCUUGAAUGGCGAACAACCAGCCGAAAGGUUGGCUAAUACGCCGUAUAAUCCUGAAAAGGCAUCUUUUUGGGAUGAGAG